rnacentral:tRNA from 1 species
GAUUAAGUGGCUGAAGUUUAGGCAAUAGAUUGUAAAUUAUUCUCUAAUCAUACCGAACAAUGGUUUAUUUUAUUUAAUAGGGUUA